rnacentral:rRNA from 1 species
AUUGAACGCUGGCGGCAUGCUUUACACAUGCAAGUCGAACGGCAGCGGGGAGGAGCUUGCUUCUCUGCCGGCGAGUGGCGAACGGGUGAGUAAUACAUCGGAACGUGUCGAGAAGAGGGGGAUAACCACCCGAAAGGGUGGCUCAUACCGCAUAAAUUCCGUGGAAGAAAGCUGGGGACCUAGGAAUAGGCCUAGCGCUUUUUGAGCGGCCGAUGUCGGAUUAGCUAGUUGGUGGGGUAAAGGCUCACCAAGGCGAAGAUCUGUAGCGGGUCUGAGAGGAUGAUCCGCCACACUGGGACUGAGACACGGCCCAGACUCCUACGGGAGGCAGCAGUGGGGAAUUUUGGACAAUGGGGGCAACCCUGAUCCAGCCAUGCCGCGUGUAUGAAGAAGGCCUUAGGGUUGUAAAGUACUUUUGUUAGGGAAGAAAAGCCAGCGGUGAAUAAUGGCCUGUACUGACGGUACCUAAAGAAUAAGCACCGGCUAACUACGUG